rnacentral:rRNA from 1 species
GACGAACGCUGGCGGCGUGCUUAACACAUGCAAGUCGAACGGAAAGGCCCUGCUUGCAGGGUACUCGAGUGCGAACGGGUGAGUAACACGUGGGUGAUCUGCCCUGCACUUCGGGAUAAGCCUGGGAAACUGGGUCUAAUACCGUAUAGGAGCCAUUUUUAGUGUGCUGGUUGGAAAGUUUUUUCGGUGUAGGAUGAGCUCGCGGCCUAUCAGCUUGUUGGUGGGGUAAUGGCCUACCAAGGAGGCGACGGGUAGCCGGCCUGAGAGGGUGGACGGCCACAUUGGGACUGAGAUACGGCCCAGACUCCUACGGGAGGCAGCAGUGGGGAAUAUUGCACAAUGGGAGCAAGCCUGAUGCAGCGACGCCGCGUGGGGGAUGACGGCCUUCGGGUUGUAAACUCCUUUCGCUAGGGACGAAGCUUUUUGUGACGGUACCUAGAGAAGAAGCACCGGCUAACUACGUG